ACCGGGAAUGGUGGCGCAUGCUUGUAGUCCCAGCUUCUUGGGAGGCUGAGGCAGAAGGAUCACUUGAGCUCGGGAGCUGGAGGUUAUAGUGAACCAUGAUCAUGGCACUGCACUCCAGCCUGGGCAACAGAGUGAGACUCUGUCUCUA
rnacentral:SRP_RNA from 1 species